rnacentral:rRNA from 1 species
CGGUACGUACUGGCAUUGUUGGUUUCUCCCUUCUGACGAACCAUGAUGUCAUUUAUUUGGUGUUGUGGGGAAUCAGGACUGUUACUUUGAAAAAAUUAGAGUGUUUAAAGCAGGCUCACGCUUGAAUACAUUAGCAUGGAAUAAUGAAAUAGGACGUUUGAUUCUAUUUUGUUGGUUUCUAGGAUCGACGUAAUGAUUAAUAGGGAUAGUUGGGGGCAUUAGUAUUCAAUUGUCAGAGGUGAAAUUCUUGGAUUUAUUGAAGACUAACUACUGCGAAAGCAUUUGCCAAGGAUGUUUUCAUUAAUCAAGAACGAAAGUUAGGGGAUCGAAGACGAUCAGAUACCUUCGUAGUCUUAACCAUAAACUAUGCCGACUAGGGAUCGGAUGAUGUUAAUUUUUUAAUGACUCAUUCGGCGCCUUACG